AAUUAAAAAAGAAGGGAUGAUGUUUUCAUUGAGACCCAAGAAAAGGAUUCUGAGUCUCAGAGCUUUGAAUGAACCACAAAAAAAAAUGGGGCAAAGAACUAAACAGAAUUCUCAAAUGAUGA